CCUACGGGAGGCACCAGUGGGGAAUAUUGCACAAUGGGCGCAAGCCUGAUGCAGCCAUGCCGCGUGUAUGAAGAAGGCCUUCGGGUUGUAAAGUACUUUCAGCGGGGAGUAAGGCGAUAAGGUUAAUAACCUUGUCGAUUGAAGUUACCCGCAGAAGAAGCACCGGCUAACUCCGUGCCAACAGCCGCGGCAAUACGGAGGGUGCAAGCGUUAAUCGGAAUUACUGGGCGUAAAGCGCACGCAGGCGGUCUGUCAAGUCGGAUGUGAAAUCCCCGGGCUCAACCUGGGAACUGCAUUCGACACUGGCAGGCUAGAGUCUUGUAGAGGGGGGUAGAAUUCCAGGUGUAGCGGUGAAAUGCGUAGAGAUUUGGAGGAAUACCGGUGGCGAAGGCGGCCCCCUGGACAAAGACUGGCGCUCAGGUGCGAAAGCGUGGGGAGCAAACAGGAUUAGAUACCCCUGUAGUC
rnacentral:rRNA from 1 species